rnacentral:rRNA from 1 species
UGGGGAAUUUUGGACAAUGGGGGAAACCCUGAUCCAGCCAUCCCGCGUGUGCGAUGAAGGCCUUCGGGUUGUAAAGCACUUUUGGCAGGAAAGAAACGUCGCGGGUUAAUACCCCGCGAAACUGACGGUACCUGCAGAAUAAGCACCGGCUAACUACGUGCCAGCAGCCGCGGUAAUACGUAGGGUGCAAGCGUUAAUCGGAAUUACUGGGCGUAAAGCGUGCGCAGGCGGUUCGGAAAGAAAGAUGUGAAAUCCCAGAGCUUAACUUUGGAACUGCAUUUUUAACUACCGGGCUAGAGUGUGUCAGAGGGAGGUGGAAUUCCGCGUGUAGCAGUGAAAUGCGUAGAUAUGCGGAGGAACACCGAUGGCGAAGGCGGCCUCCUGGGAUAACACUGACGCUCAUGCACGAAAGCGUGGGGAGCAAACAGGAUUAGAUACCCUGGUAGUCCACGCCCUAAACGAUGUCAACUAGCUGUUGGGGCCUUCGGGCCUUGGUAGCGCAGCUAACGCGUGAAGUUGACCGCCUGGGGAGUACGGUCGCAAGACUAAAACUUAAAUGAAUUGACGGGGUCAUAGCUGUUUCCU